rfam:Stegodyphus mimosarum contig116368, whole genome shotgun sequence.
GGUAGCGUGGCCGAGUGGUCUAAGGCGCUGGUUUUAGGUACCAGUCUUUUUGGAGGCGUGGGUUCGAAUGCCACCGCUGCCA